UAAGGAAUAUUGGUCAAUGGGCGCAAGCCUGAACCAGCAACGCCGCGUGGAGGAAGAAGGGUUUCGGCUCGUAAACUCCUUUUAGGUGGGAAGAGCAAGGACGGUACCACCUGAAUAAGUCUCGGCUAACUACGUGCCAGCAGCCGCGGUAAAACGUAGGAGACGAGCGUUAUCCGGAUUUACUGGGCGUAAAGCGCGUGCAGGCGGUUAGAUAAGUCACUUGUGAAAGCGCCCGGCUCAACUGGGCGAGGCCGUGUGAGACUGUCUAACUUGAGAGAGGUAGAGGCGAAUGGAAUUCCGGGUGGAGUGGUGAAAUGCGUAGAGAUCCGGAGGAACACCAGUGGCGAAGGCGAUUCGCUGGGCCUACUCUGACGCUCAGACGCGAUAGCAUGGGGAGCGAAC
rnacentral:rRNA from 1 species